AAUCGUCGACGGUGAACCCGUUGGUCCAAAACGUGACGACGUGAGCGGUUGGUUGUGGGGUCGGGGGUUCGAUUCCCG
rnacentral:tRNA from 13 species